GUUUAUGUGGGCCUGUUUCCCAGGUCAUGCAGGCUAACGGAGUGCACAACCUGGUGUUCAGCAGCUCGGCCACGGUGUACGGAGACCCCCAGCGGCUGCCCAUCGACGAGCAGCACCCGGUGGGCGGCUGCACCAACCCCUACAGCAAGACCAAGUUCUUCAUCGAGGAGAUGAUCAGCGACCAGUGCAAGGCCAAUAAGGACUGGAAUGCAGUUCUGCUGCGGUACUUCAACCCGAUCGGAGCUCACAUCAGCGGCCUCAUCGGAGAGGAUCCUCAAGGCAUCCCCAACAACUUGCUCCCAUACGUUGCACAGGUUGCCAUUGGGAGUAGAGAGCACCUCAGUGUUUAUGGUGAUGACUACGACACACCUGAUGGGACAGAUCCAUCAGGAGCGGAAGC